rnacentral:rRNA from 1 species
UUUGCCGGCAGCUAGCUCUUUGCAACUCUCACAUGGUCGCCCACUGAAGCUUAGCAGAGUUGUGCCCGGUCAGUACCUGGAUGGGAGACCUCAUGGGAAAGCUAGGUUGCUGUCAGAA